ensembl:lncRNA
AAAAACAGCACGUUGUGCAGCUUUGUUAAUAUAAUUGUAUAAAUAAAAUAAGUACGCUUGUUGUAUUAUGUGCACUGCGUGCACUGUUGAAGAUUCAUGUACAUCCAUGCCUGUACCACUGUGCCAUGCUGUAGAACAGAAUAGAUACAGUGUUCAAAAUGAGGCAGGGAUUCCCAGUGUGGGAAAGACCCAGGCAAUGUAACAGCAAAGUCGUCAUCAGCAGCAUUACACUACAUCACUGACCAGGGCACCCACAGGUCCCAGCCAUAUUCUGCUUACACAAAACUUCAGCUACGCCGACAUGUGGCCGACUUGAUCAUAUAAGAAUAAUAUCAUGCUCCUGCUUGACCGCACUCUGCAGGGCAGUUUUGCACAAAGAGAGUGAAAGAUUUUUGAUUCGAAAGCAAAUAUAUUCAUUCAUUUCGAACGUCAGUCUCAAAUCUCCUGGCUGAGCAAACUGUGCAAGCUUAAUGUAAGGGAGGGGCUGCAGGAGAAAUUGUGAAUCAGAGCCAGUAGUGGGGUGCUUAUGAAUAAACCGGCUUUACCUAUCCCCUCCUCCUCUGCCCAUCCCUCGCUUAUGAUCUCUGCUCUAUCAACACUCCUCCCAGUUUCUUACACGCGUGCACGCACACACACACCAGCCCAAGGGGUUGCCAAGGAGAUGAUAACGUCAUUCUGAACUAGUGCCAUUUGUGCUGAGGGAGUACCAGUGAAACAGGAAGAAAAACAAUGAUAUUAAAAAUAAAUAAAAGGAUUUCAGUGUACAGAGAGAGAUAUGGAAGGACAGUAGCAGAGAAAAUACAGCAAGAAAAAAAAAAAGAAACAGCAAGAGCCCGGAUACGCCAUUACGAGUGUUCCAUUUUCGCCUUCUCAAGUUCAGGCAAUCUUACACUGACAACAAAGUGGUUUCUCAUUUUUCUAGGUCACAGGAUAUCAAGUAGUAAAACAUCAAAUUAAUGCUACUGAAUUGAUAAGUGAGUAGUGAGGCUUCUUCAGUUGCCUUUAACCUGCUCUGUGCUUUUCCUUGCUCUAAAUGAUGAUAAACAUGACUACACC